UACGGAGGGUGCAAGCGUUAAUCGGAAUUACUGGGCGUAAAGCGCACGCAGGUGGCUAAGUCAGUCGAUUGUGAAAGCCCUGGGCUUAACCUGGGAAUUGCAGUCGAUACUACUUAGCUAGAGUAUGGGAGAGGGCAGUGGAAUUCCCGGUGUAGCGGUGAAAUGCGUAGAUAUCGGGAGGAACAUCAGUGGCGAAGGCGGCUGCCUGGCCCAAUACUGACGCUCAUGCACGAAAGCGUGGGGAGCAAACAGG
rnacentral:rRNA from 1 species